rnacentral:rRNA from 1 species
AUGGCAUCUUCGCCAAGUGACUACAAGGCAUCUUCGCCUUCGGAUAUUGGGCAUCUUUGCCAACAAGCACCUCAAGACUACACUCAAGAGAAGCUACCCAAGCUCAAGUCCGCGACUUCCACGAGCUACUACGACCUCGACACCGACCACAAGAUUCCUUUCUAUGGGACUCAAGAACCCGAGGAGUACCUCGAGUGGGAACGUUUGAUGGACGACUACCUCAAGCUACAUCAAGUUCGUCCCGAAGAUCAAGUGAAGUGCGCCACAAGAAACUUCCACGACUACGCCUCGACAUGGUGGCUUCACACACCUUCGGAGAGCUACGAGAUGAGUUGGCCCAAGACGAAGAGAGCUUUACGGCGAGAGUUUGUGCCUCCAACCUACACGGAACAACUUCGACGCCAAUUGGAGAACACCACCCAAGGAUCCAAGUCCAUCGACAAGUACUUCAAGGAGAUGACGAUUGCAUUGCGACGAGCCGGCGUGGACGACCCCAUAUCAAUGAAGUUCCACUUCAUGAUGGGAUUGCACAACGACAUCUCCAAGACCAUCUUCAUCGAGAACUACAAGUCCAUCGACGACUACUACAUUGGUGCUCUCAAGGCGGAACAAGAACUCAUGAAGGCCAAGACUUCACCGCCAUCCCUCUUUGUGGCAUUGAUGAUGUGCCAUCUUCGGCCUUCAUCCAUGACGAGAGUGAUGUUGAGCCAUCUUCGGCCUUCAUCCACGACGAGAGUGAUGAUGUGCCAUCUUCGGCCUUCAUCCACGGCGACCACGACGAGAUGGUUGAGCAUGGGAUCUUCCCUUCGACCACGGCGAUGUAUGAUGACUUGA